GCGUAGGAACCUACCUAGUAGUUUGGGAUAGCCCAGAGAAAUUUGGAUUAAUACCGGAUACGCCCUACGGGGGAAAGGGGCGUUUGGCUCUCGCUAUUAGGUGGGCCGUGCGUAAGAUUAGCUAGUUGGUGAGGUAAUGGCUCACCAAGGCGACGAUCUUUAGUCUGGUCUGAGAGGAUGAUCAGCCACACUGGAACUGAGACACGGUCCAGACUCCUACGGGAGGGCAGCAGUGGGGAAGUAUUGGACAAUGGGGGCAACCCUGAUCCAGCAACGCCGCGUGGAGGAUGAAGGUCUUCG
rnacentral:rRNA from 1 species